GACGAACGCUGGCGGCGUGCUUAACACAUGCAAGUCGAACGGAAAGGCACUGCUCUUGCGGGGUGCUCGAGUGGCGAACGGGUGUGUAACACGUGAGUAACCUGCCCUUGACAUUGGGAUAACUUCAGGAAACUGGGGCUAAUAUCCGAUAGGAGCUCCUGCUGCAUGGGGGGGGAUGGAGAGUUUCGGCGGUUGUGGAUGGACUAGCGGCUUAUCAGCUGGUUGGUGGGGUAGUGGCUUACCAAGGCUUUGAAGGGUAGCCGGCCUUAGAGGGUGGCCGGCGACAUUGGGACUGAGAGACGCCCCAGACGCCUACGGGAGGCAGCAGUGGAGAAUAUUGCACAGUGGGCGGAAGUCUGUUGCAGCAACGCCGCGUGCGGGAUGACGUCCUUCGGGUUGUAAACCGCUGUCGCCUGUGACGAAGCGUGAGUGACGGUAAUGGGUAAAGAAGCACCGGCUAACUACGUG
rnacentral:rRNA from 1 species